rnacentral:rRNA from 1 species
UACGUAGGGGGCUAGCGUUGUCCGGAUUUAUUGGGCGUAAAGAGCGUGUAGGCGGCCAGGCAGGUCUGCUGUGAAAACUCGAGGCUCAACCUCGAGACGUCGGUGGAAACCGUCUGGCUAGAGUCCGGAAGAGGAGAGUGGAAUUCCUGGUGUAGCGGUGAAAUGCGCAGAUAUCAGGAAGAACACCCGUGGCGAAGGCGGCUCUCUGGGACGGUACUGACGCUGAGACGCGAAAGCGUGGGGAGCGAACAGG